rnacentral:rRNA from 1 species
UACGUAGGGUGCAAGCGUUAAUCGGAAUUACUGGGCGUAAAGCGUGCGCAGGCGGUUAUGCAAGACAGAGGUGAAAUCCCCGGGCUCCACCUGGGAACUGCCUUUGUGACUGCAUGGCUAGAGUACGGUAGAGGGGGAUGGAAUUCCGCGUGUAGCAGUGAAAUGCGUAGAUAUGCGGAGGAACACCGAUGGCGAAGGCAAUCCCCUGGACCUGUACUGACGCUCAUGCACGAAAGCGUGGGGAGCAAACAGGAUUAGAUAC